rnacentral:pre_miRNA from 1 species
AUCACCGGGGGACCUUGUUAAAAUGCACAUUCUGAUGCAGCAUGUCUGGGGUGGAGCCCAACACUCUGCAUUUCUAACAAGCUCCCAGGAGAUGCCAA